UUUUUCCACGCGUUUGGUGUUCCUCGUCUUCUCCGUCUCUCGACGAUCGAAAGUCAAAACCCACCAUGUCUGCGCUCGCUUUUUGUUUGAGACGAUCGACGACUCUGUCGGUCAUCACGGCGUCUCCACCGUGUUCUCCGUCAGACGAAACCCUAAACCAAUCACGGAAGCUGAGAGAGACUCUGUCGGGAAGUCACGUCGUCUCCUCCAUCUUCUCUCCGUCAGAAAUUGGGCUUUUUUCUGUUUUGCUUUGAUUCAGGUGUGUCAAUUUCGAGUGAGUUUGGUGAAAGAUACGAAGAAACAUGAGCUAAUGUGGGAGAGCCAACACGAUGUGUUCUGAUCUUUAUGUGUUCUGAUUAACUUUGUGUACACUUGGUGGCAAUCUUACAACGUAUGAGCUUGCUGCUAGAAACGAUUUCGUACUUGCGCUUCGGGCUAGGAUUGAAGCUAUACCUGAUGGGACUGCGGGUGGUCCUAAAAGCACUAGUGCGUGGGCUCCUUCUACAACGUCUCGUCCUGAUAUCAAAUUUGAUUCAGAUGGGCGUUUUGAUGAUGAUUACUUUCAAGAAUCACAUGAGUCCAGCCAGUUCAGACAGGAGUUUGAGAUGCGGAAAAUUAAACAGGCAGGUUUAGAUGCUUUGAAGAACAUGGCAUCUGAUAUGAACGAGGUGAGUUUCUUGAACUACAUCUCUUAUAACAGACUUCCAACUUAUUCAGUAUUUGAGCUGAUGAACCAUCUGAUAUGAUUGUGUAAUGUUUUGUAUUUUUAUGUGUCACGGACUAGAAAGUCUCGUGUGUCUCUUUGUAUUUUUAUGUGAAAUAGAUUUGGUAAUAAAAUAUCAGCAUUAAGGCUCGUGUGUCAUUCUUGAACCA